UAUGUUUUAGUAUAUGCUCUAGUACCUGGAUAUUUGGAAUCCAUAGUCCAAACAUAA
rnacentral:tRNA from 1 species